AGUGAACGCUGGCGGUAGGCCUAACACAUGCAAGUCGAACGGCAGCACAGUAAGAGCUUGCUCUUACGGGUGGCGAGUGGCGGACGGGUGAGGAAUACAUCGGAAUCUACUUUUUCGUGGGGGAUAACGUAGGGAAACUUACGCUAAUACCGCAUACGACCUACGGGUGAAAUCAGGGGAUCUUCGGACCUUUCGCGAUUGAAUGAGCCGAUGUCGGAUUAGCUAGUUGGCAGGGUAAAGGCCCACCAAGGCGACGAUCCGUAGCUGGUCUGAGAGGAUGAUCAGCCACACUGGAACUGAGACACGGUCCAGACUCCUACGGGAGGCAGCAGUGGGGAAUAUUGGACAAUGGGCGCAAGCCUGAUCCAGCCAUACCGCGUGGGUGAAGAAGGCCUUCGGGUUGUAAAGCCCUUUUGUUGGGAAAGAAAAGCAGCAGGUUAAUACCCCGCUGUUCUGACGGUACCCAAAGAAUAAGCACCGGCUAACUUCGUG
rnacentral:rRNA from 1 species